rnacentral:lncRNA from 1 species
GGCACAGAGCUCCUCAUUAGCCAAAGUCGCCCAAGUUCCCCAACCUUUAAGGAUUUCCUCAUAAUAAUGCAAGAAGAAGAAGAGAAAAGUGAGUGUCCAUAGAAGCUUUGGGGCUCUUCCUCUAAUCAGGAGAAAGCUGCAGAAGUUCAUCAGCUAACUUCUUGGGACCUAGCACCAUGUGAAGACGCUCAAGCUAGACUUUAAAAUGAGAGACCCAGAGGAGAGACAGAAGCUCCACUAAAUCCAAAGAACACCUAGACUGAUCAACAACAGAGGAAGCAAGGACAGCAAAGGGCGCUGCAGAGGCCAAGAGGGAAGGUUUUAGAAUGUUUCCCAAAGCAUGAAUGUUGGAAUGGUGGUCCCAUGAGAUGCUCCUCUAAAAAAAGAAGGAGGUGAAAGAAUUAUUUGGCCAAAUCUGCUUUGAAAUCCUCUCCCUUUUAGAUUCAUCCUAAUAUUGGCAUAGGAAUGCCUCUUUAAAGAACUACAAUAAAGAAGCCUGUUUAUCUUUGCUU